GGACCGAGCUCGCCGAGCGGGAAAGAGAGGCUGAGCGGGCCGAGCGCGAAAGACAAGCCAAGCAGCUAGCGGAGAUUACGGCGUUUUUGCAGAGCUUUGGGCAAGUCAACGGUGUAGCUGUGCCACAGUUCGCUCCACCGCCGCUACUUCUAGCUAGUCCUCCUCCGUCGGCGGGUUCAAAUAACCCAUCUCAGGCGCAAGCAGGCGACGGCGCUUUUCCUUCACCGGGCACUCAGUUUUCCCCCCACCUCUAGUUUGUUUCUCUUUUUCACGACUUGAUGGACAUGUGAUGCACUGUGAACGACUAUCGACUUGUGAUGAUGGAUAUUGGAACUAUUAUGUUUGCGAUGUCGUGUAUGCAUGUGA